GUCUAAACCAGGACUAAACCAGGACUGAACCAGGACUAAACCAAGUCUAAACCAGGACUAAACCAGGGCUAAACCGGGGCUAAACCAGGACUAAACCAGGACUAAACCAGGACUAAACCAGGAUUGAACCAGGACUAAACCAGGACUAAACCAGGACUGAACCAGGACUGAACCAGGACUGAACCAGGACUAAACCAGGACUAAACCAGGACUAAACCAGGUCUAAACCAGGACUAAACCAGGUGUAAACCAGGACUAAACCAGGUCUAAACCAGGACUAAACCAGGUCCAAACCAGUACUAAACCAGGACUAAACCAGGUUUGAACCAGGACUAAACCAGGACUGAACCAGGUCUAAACCAGGACUGAACCAGGACUAAACCCAGACUAAACCCGAACUAAACCAGGACUAAACCAGGUCUAAACCAGGUCUAAACCAGGUCUAAACCAGGUCUAAACCAGGACUAGAC
ensembl:lncRNA